rnacentral:rRNA from 1 species
GACGAACGCUGGCGGCGUGCUUAACACAUGCAAGUCGAACGAGUGGCGAACGGGUGAGUAACGCGUAUCAACCUGCCCUUCAGAGGGGGACAACAGUUGGAAACGACUGCUAAUACCGCAUAUUAUUCGAGCGGCCGAUGUCUGAUUAGCUGGUUGGCGGGGUAAAGGCCCACCAAGGCGACGAUCAGUAGCGGGUCUGAGAGGAUGAUCCGCCACACUGGGACUGAGACACGGCCCAGACUCCUACGGGAGGCAGCAGUGGGGAAUUUUGGACAAUGGGCGCAAGCCUGAUCCAGCCAUGCCGCGUGAAUGAAGAAGGCCUUCGGGUUGUAAAGUUCUUUCGGUGACGAGGCGUUAAUCACAGAAGAAGCACCGGCUAACUCCGUGCCAGCAGCCGCGGUAAUUC